AGAGUUUGUAGGAUCAAGGCUUCCUGUCUAG
rnacentral:tRNA from 1 species